UGUUAAAAUUUUCUUCAAUUUGUAUUAUUAAAAACUAAUUGGCUAACGGAAUAAUUAAGUAGCGACAUAUAGCGUGCUACAUAUACCUCAUGUUGAUGUACAAAGAUAAGAUUUUAAUAGUAGAAAUGAAAGGAUCUUUUAAUA
rfam:Gossypium hirsutum cultivar TM-1 chromosome 16, whole genome shotgun sequence